GGUGACAUGGCCAAGUGGUCUAAGGCACUAGAAUCAGCUUCUUUACCUAUCUAGUCUUCAGGGAAAUGAGGUCAAAUCUCACUGUUGUCA